UGGGGAAUAUUGGACAAUGGGGGCAACCCUGAUCCAGCCAUGCCGCGUGUGUGAAGAAGGCCUUUUGGUUGUAAAGCACUUUAAGCAGGGAGGAGAGGCUAAUGGUUAAUACCCAUUAGAUUAGACGUUACCUGCAGAAUAAGCACCGGCUAACUCUGUGCCAGCAGCCGCGGUAAUACAGAGGGUGCGAGCGUUAAUCGGAAUUACUGGGCGUAAAGCGAGUGUAGGUGGCUCAUUAAGUCACAUGUGAAAUCCCCGGGCUUAACCUGGGAACUGCAUGUGAUACUGGUGGUGCUAGAAUAUGUGAGAGGGAAGUAGAAUUCCCAGGUGUAGCGGUGAAAUGCGUAGAGAUCUGGAGGAAUACCGAUGGCGAAGGCAGCUUCCUGGCAUAAUAUUGACACUGAGAUUCGAAAGCGUGGGUAGCAAACAGGAUUAGAUACCCUGGUAGUCCACGCCGUAAACGAUGUCUACUAGCCGUUGGGGUCCUUGAGACUUUAGUGGCGCAGUUAACGCG
rnacentral:rRNA from 1 species